AACCAGGAGCCUCUUUUGGCAUUAGUGUGUUGCGAGCGCUGCGUUUGCUGAGGAUAUUCAAGGUUACCAAGUAUUGGAACUCGUUACGGAAUCUGGUGGUGUCUCUGCUCAACUCAAUGAAGUCCAUCAUCAGCCUCCUGUUCCUGCUUUUUCUCUUCAUUGUAGUGUUUGCUCUGCUGGGAAUGCAGCUCUUCGGAGGACAGUUUAAUUUUGAAGAUGAGACCCCGACGACCAACUUUGACACAUUCCCAGCUGCUAUCCUGACAGUGUUUCAGAUUCUGACAGGAGAGGACUGGAAUGCUGUGAUGUAUCAUGGAA